UAUUAUGAGAGUUUGAUCCUGGCUCAGGACGAACGCUGGCGGCGUGCCUAAUACAUGCAAGUCGAACGCUUCUUUCCUCCCGAGUGCUUGCACUCAAUUGGAAAGAGGAGUGGCGGACGGGUGAGUAACACGUGGGUAACCUACCCAUCAGAGGGGGAUAACACUUGGAAACAGGUGCUAAUACCGCAUAACAGUUUAUGCCGCAUGGCAUAAGAGUGAAAGGCGCUUUCGGGUGUCGCUGAUGGAUGGACCCGCGGUGCAUUAGCUAGUUGGU
rnacentral:rRNA from 1 species